rnacentral:rRNA from 1 species
UACGUAGGGGGCAAGCGUUGUCCGGAUUCAUUGGGCGUAAAGGGUGCGUAGGUGGCGCCGUAAGUCGGGUGUGAAAUUUCGGAGCUUAACUCCGAAACUGCAUUCGAUACUGCGGUGCUUGAGGACUGGAGAGGAGACUGGAAUUCAUGGUGUAGCAGUGAAAUGCGUAGAGAUCAUGAGGAAGACCAGUGGCGAAGGCGGGUCUCUGGACAGUUCCUGACACUGAGGCACGAAGGCCAGGGGAGCAAACGGG